rnacentral:lncRNA from 1 species
CACAGCUGAGGGAAAUCCCACGGUCAUCCUGCCCGUGCCCUUGGACUUGGUGAUAUAGAUGUUAAUACCAAGUUGGGCUAAGAUCUACACAUUUGGCCGCAUACAUGGAUAAAUAGCUUGAGAAUGAUGGGCAGAGGUGAGGGAUGCUAAUGGAUCUGUGAUGUCAGGGAAGUUUGUCUGAUAAGGCGACAGUUUCCAGCAGAGAUCUAAAAGUGAGUAUCU